UACGUAGGGGGCAAGCGUUGUCCGGAAUUAUUGGGCGUAAAGAGCGCGUAGGCGGCCCGGUAAGUCCGCUCUGAAAGUCACAGGCUCAACCUGUGAAAGCGGGUGGAUACUGCCGGGCUAGAGUCCGGAAGAGGCGAGUGGAAUUCCUGGUGUAGCGGUGGAAUGCGCAGAUAUCAGGAGGAACACCGAUGGCGAAGGCAGGUCUCUGGGCCACUACUGACGCUGAGAAGCGAAAGCAUGGGGAGCGAACAGG
rnacentral:rRNA from 1 species